UAGGUUCUUUGUAUAUUUUAGGGUUUUCCUUUCCCAUUGAAUUCAAGUAUGUUUCCAUUUUCUCUUUAUCAGACUCAUGGUGUCUGGUUUUAUGAAGUCCUCAAUCCACUUGAAGUUGAAGUUUUGUACAUGACAUUCGAUACAGAUCUGUUUUCAUGGUGUCUCUUAAGUUUGAGUAUGUUGUAUUUUCAUUUUCAUUAAGUUCUAAAAUUAAUUUCUGUUUUGACUCAAUUUUCAUUCAGUGGGGAGUUAUUCAGUGUCUCCAGCACUCUGCAUAGCUUAAAUACACAUAGUGUAUGGCUCAUUUUAUUUUAUUUAACUUUAUUUUUUGAGACAAGAUCUCACUGUGUAGCCUUGGCUAGGUUAGAACCUCUGUGAGCUGAGGCUGGCUUGGAAUUCACAGAGAUCCAUCUGCCUCUGCCUCCGCCUCUGCCUCCGCCUCCGCCUCCGCCUCCGCCUCCGCCUCCGCCUCCGCCUCCGCCUCCGCCUCCGCCUCCGCCUCUGCCGAGUGCUAUGAUUAAAGGUAUGGGCCUUUAAUCUGUAAACCUUGCUAUGGCUCAGUUUUUCUAUCUUCUGUAUUUUUGUUUUUAUUUUUCUGUUUAUAAAUUAUGAGAUGAGAUUUUCUUCUUUUCCUUUUUAAAGGUGUAUUAAAUGUGGUAUGUGAUCAAAGAGUAAAAAAAUAAACGUGUGUGUUUUCUCCUGAUGUAGAUGGAUGUGUUAGAACUCUUUCCAGUGUUGUUCCACGUUCUUCUCUCUUCUAGGGAUAGCCCUCGAGAACCCUUUUUGUAGGUCUUCACAAAUGGAGACUAUUGUGUCUUAUUUCCCAGAAAAGUUUUUAACAGCCAGUGUUUAGAUUUGAUGACAUUAGAUGUUUAAAAAGUGGUAUUUGAUAUGAGGAAAUAUCUACAUGAUUAUACAAGUUCAUCUGGUUUAUUUCUAUUAAGACAAGUGUACAGUGACUACAACUAAGACAAUGUACUACUGAACAGUGAAGGAGAUUUGGAUCAUUUGUUACUGCACUAGGCAGUGUGUUAUGAACUCAUUAAUAAAGAAUUCAGAUUACAAAGUCAAAGAUGAAGACUGUUAGUAAUAUUUUGCAGAGAUUGUAUUCUAUCAAAAAUUAAAGUAGGCUUUACACGAGUGAGGAAAUUCUUGUUUCUGAAACCCAGCACUGUUCAAGGCUUCUGACCCCUCCUCAGUUAGUGCUCAACUGCAGCUGUGAAGGAAACUGUCAACCAGAGACCUUCCUGGGACAUCUGAGCAUCUUCUGGUCGGACUGUGUGACAGUAGCAUGCACCUUUUCUUAGGGUCAAAGAUACAUGUGCACUUCAAGAAACUAGCUUGUACUAAAAGGUUUGUUUGUUUUGUUUUGUUUUAACUUUUUUACUAGCUUCCUAUCAUCACAGGUAAUUGGGCCAUAGUUAACAAGCUUUGAUGUUUUAUAAUGGGACACCUUUUGCUGGAAAUUCAUAAAUAUUGAAAAAGGUAAAUUGGUUUUAAUGGUGUUUAAGUUACUGUGUUGGCAUAAUGAGAAAUGGGGAAAACUUUCUGUUCUAAACUAAAGACAAUUGUAAUAAAGUGUUUGUUUACAGCCACCAACAUCACUCCAUUGAAGAUAAAAGAACUGGCUGCAGAAAAUAUUGGCAAAUGUAUAUGUCUACUCAACAUACUUUUCCAGAAAGCUCUGAAAGACUUCUGUUCCUAAUUAAUAAAGCUAAUUCUAUUU
rnacentral:lncRNA from 1 species